CGCUAUCACUCCUACGGGAGGCAGCAGUGGGGAAUAGUUGGACAAUGGGCGAAAGCCUGAUCCAGCCAUGCCGCGUGUGUGAAGAAGGUCCUUUGGUUGUAAAGCACUUUAAGCGAGGAGGAGGCUACUUGGAUUAAUACUCUAGGAUAGUGGACGUUACUCGCAGAAUAAGCACCGGCUAACUCUGUGCCAGCAGCCGCGGUAAUACAGAGGGUGCGAGCGUUAAUCGGAUUUACUGGGCGUAAAGCGUGCGUAGGCGGCUUUUUAAGUCGGAUGUGAAAUCCCCUGAGCUUAACUUAGGAAUUGCAUUCGAUACUGGGAAGCUAGAGUAUGGGAGAGGAUGGUAGAAUUCCAGGUGUAGCGGUGAAAUGCGUAGAGAUCUGGAGGAAUACCGAUGGCGAAGGCAGCCAUCUGGCCUAAUACUGACGCUGAGGUACGAAAGCAUGGGGAGCAAACAGGAUUAGAUACCCUGGUAG
rnacentral:rRNA from 1 species